UCCGGUGAAUACGUUCCCGGACCUUGUACACACCGCCCGUCAAGCCAUGAAAGUCUGGUAGACCUAAAGCUGGUUUUCAAACGGCCAGUUAGGGUAGAACAGGUAAUUGGGGCU
rnacentral:rRNA from 1 species